AAAAUUAAUUUCUUCUAUGAGAUGAUGAAUCCGCCUAUAGAGAGGAGGUGCAGCGGUUGUUGGUCUGGUGUAGGGAGAACAAUUUGAUCCUCAACACCUCAAAGACAAAGGAGAUGGUGGUGGACUAUAGAAGGAGGAAAACAGUCAUGCAGUCACUGGUCAUCGAUGGG